CUCAGGAAUAAACACAAAUGUGUUUACCUGUGAAUGAAACGGAGGUCAAAAACAUCAGAUGACAUCAAGCUUAAAAUCCAAGCAGCCAGUGAGUCACAACACCCCAGGGUAGUUGUUGAACACUACAGGAGUGGGGCCUACAGACCCUUUCAGCAGCAAAUGGUUCUAUGAAGACAGAUCUCCACUCCUUCAGCACCCCAUAAAGAACUGUGGAAAAUGAGGCAGGAGACUGGGGAGUAGCAGGCUGACUGGGGAAGUAGGCAUGAGGUGUUAAUUACAAAAUCCCAGGACACGUGGAGAAAGAACAGUUCCCAAAGGCCUGCGUGUGGACUUCUCAGGAGAACUCGAGCAGUUUUGGAUAGGACAGCCCAGAC
rnacentral:lncRNA from 1 species